GUCCAUCCCGCCUGACACUUGACUCAAACCUCAUUUAAAGAAGGUGAGCAAAGUCUCAGGUGUGGCGGCCU
ncrna:Haemonchus contortus (barber pole worm) microRNA hco-mir-87b precursor